CCAAUUACCCCGCUACAUCUCUUUUUCACGUUCUAAAGGAUCUCAUCAAAGCCAUUAGGAACAACUGUACCAAAAAAAAGCCAUUAGGAACAAAAAUGCACCUAAUCCGAGCUGAUUAAAUUUUCCUCUAAUUAAUCACAGUUCUCUGGCCAUGUUCCCACGAAAAUAGACAUUUGAAACCCAUUCUCAUGUUCUCGUAGCAAAAGAAAUUACAUCUAUUGGUGUUAUGAAA
rnacentral:lncRNA from 1 species